rnacentral:rRNA from 1 species
CCUACGGGGGGCAGCAGUGGGGAAUAUUGCACAAUGGGGGAAACCCUGAUGCAGCGACGCCGCGUGAGUGAAGAAGGAAGUCGGGAUGUAAAGCUCUAUCAGCAGGGAAGAAAAUGACGGUACAUGAGGAAGAAGCCCCGGCUAACGACGUGCCAGCAGCCGCGGGAAUACGGAGGGGGCAAGCGUUAUCCGGAUUUACUGGGUGUAAAGGGAGCGUAGCCGGCCGGGCCAGUCUGGAGUGAAAGGCGGGGGCUCAACCCCCGGACUGCGCUGGAAACUGUACGGCUGGAGUGCAGGAGCGGUACUUGGCAUUCCUCGUGUAGCGGUGAACUUCGUCGAU